rnacentral:rRNA from 1 species
CCUACGGGAGGCAGCAGUAGGGAAUAUUGCUCAAUGGGGGAAACCCUGAAGCAGCAACGCCGCGUGGAGGAUGAAGGUUUUCGGAUUGUAAACUCCUUUUGUUAGAGAAGAUAAUGACGGUAUCUAACGAAUAAGCACCGGCUAACUCCGUGCCAGCAGCCGCGGUAAUACGGAGGGUGCAAGCGUUACUCGGAAUCACUGGGCGUAAAGAGCGCGUAGGCGGGUUAGCAAGUCAGAUGUGAAAUCCUUUGGUUUAACCAUAGAACUGCAUUUGAAACUGUUAUUCUAGAGUAUGGGAGAGGUAGGUGGAAUUCUUGGUGUAGGGGUGAAAUGCGUAGAGAUCAAGAGGAAUACUCAUUGCGAAGGCGACCUGCUAGAACAUAACUGACGCUGAUGCGCGAAAGCGUGGGGAGCAAACAGGAUUAGAUACCCUAGUAGUC